rnacentral:rRNA from 1 species
UACGAAGGGGGCUAGCGUUGUUCGGAAUCACUGGGCGUAAAGCGCAUGUAGGCGGCUCUUUAAGUCAGAGGUGAAAUCCCAAGGCUCAACCUUGGAACUGCCUUUGAUACUGGGGAUCUUGAGUCCGGGAGAGGUGAGUGGAACUGCGAGUGUAGAGGUGAAAUUCGUAGAUAUUCGGAAGAACACCAGUGGCGAGGGCGACUCACUGGACAUGUAUUGACGCUGAGGUGCGAAAGCGUGGGGAGCAAACAGG